AAUAUUGGACAAUGGGCGAAAGCCUGAUCCCGCAAUGCCGUGAGUGUGAAUACUGUCUUCUGAACGUAAAGCACUUUAAUUUGGGAGGAAGGGUCAUCGAUUAAUACUCAGCAAAUUUGACUUUACCGACAGUAUAAGUCCCGACCAACUCCGUGCCAUCAGCCGCGGUAAUACGAAGGGUGCAAGCGUUAAUGGGAAUUACUGGGCGUAAAGCGCGCGUAGGUGGUUCGUUAAGUUGGAUGUGAAAGCCCCGGGCUCGACCUGGGAACUGCAUCCAAAACUGGCGAGCUAGAGUACGGUAGAGGGUGGUGGAAUUUCCUGUGUAGCGGUGAAAUGCGUAGAUAUAGGAAGGAACACCAGUGGCGAAGGCGACCACCUGGACUGAUACUGACACUGAGGUGCGAAAGCGUGGGGAGCAAACAGG
rnacentral:rRNA from 1 species